rnacentral:rRNA from 1 species
CCUACGGGAGGCAGCAGUGAGGAAUAUUGGUCAAUGGACGAGAGUCUGAACCAGCCAAGUAGCGUGAAGGAUGACUGCCCUAUGGGUUGUAAACUUCUUUUAUAUGGGAAUAAAAUGUUCCACGUGUGGGAUUUUGUAUGUACCAUAUGAAUAAGGAUCGGCUAACUCCGUGCCAGCAGCCGCGGUAAUACUGAGGAUCCGAGCGUUAUCCGGAUUUAUUGGGUUUAAAGGGAGCGUAGGUGGAUUGUUAAGUCAGUUGUGAAAGUUUGCGGCUCAACCGUAAAAUUGCAGUUGAAACUGGCAGUCUUGAGUACAGUAGAGGUGGGCGGAAUUCGUGGUGUAGCGGUGAAAUGCUUAGAUAUCACGAAGAACUCCGAUUGCGAAGGCAGUUCACUGGACUGCAACUGACACUGAGGCUCGAAAGUGUGGGUAUCAAACAGGAUUAGAUACCCCAGUAGU